AUCAGGUUGAGAAACAACAAAACCGUAUGAUUAUUUUUUUAACUUUAAAAAUGUUGGGUUCUAGCCACACAGUGAAAAGUAAUUUUUUAAAAUUUUAAAAUCAAAUAACUUAAUAGCUUUAUCAAAUAAAACUAUCGAGCCAGAAUCCAAACCAUAGAAUCACCUUGCCGAUAUCGAUAAAACAAAGACAAGCAUACAAAAGAGAUAGAAUUUUAUACUUUCACCAAAAUAAAAAAGUGGCAUAUUGGUGUUCUCCACAAGACCCCA
rnacentral:lncRNA from 1 species